CCGACUGCUAUUUGGGUGAGGAUAAGCCAUGCGAGUUGAAUGGGAAACCUAAAGUUCCCAUGGCAUACUGCUCAGUAACACAUGAUCAACUUACCCUAUAGAGAAAAAUAACCUCGGGAAACUGAGGAUAAUGUUUCAUAGUUGAAUUGGCUUGGAGAAGUUUUUCGACGAAAGGGGUAAAAAAAAUGGUUUUUAUCUGCUAUAGGAUAGGAUCGUGUUCGAUUAUGGUUGUUGGUGAGGUAAUGGCUCACCAAGCCGAUAAUCGAUAGGGGCCGUGAGAGCGGGAGCCCCGAGAUGGGUACUGAGACAACGACCCAGGCCUUACGAGGCGCAGCAGGCGCGAAACCUCCGCAAUACACGAAAGUGUGACGGGGUUACCCAAAGUGUUCAAUUUUGAACUGUGGUAGGUGAGUAAUGUUCCCUGCUAGAAAGGAGAGGGCAAGGCUGGUGCCAGCCGCCGCGGUAAAACCAGCUCUUCAAGUGGUCGGGGUAAUUAUUGGGCUUAAAGUGUCCGUAGCCGGUUUGGUAAGUUCCUGGUAAAAUCGGGUAGCUUAACUAUCUAUAUGCUAGGAAUACUACUAUACUAGAGGGCGGGAGAGGUCUGAGGUACUACAGGGGUAGGGGUGAAAUCUUAUAAUCCUUGUUGGACCACCAGUGGCGAAGGCGUCAGACUGGAACGCGCCUGACGGUGAGGGACGAAAGCCAGGGGAGCGAACCGGAUUAGAUACCCGGGUAGUCCUGGCCGUAAACGAUGCAUACUAGGUGAUGGCACGGCCAUGAGCCGUGUCAGUGCCGUAGGGAAACCGUUAAGUGUGCCGCCUGGGAAGUACGGGUCGCAA
rnacentral:rRNA from 1 species